rnacentral:rRNA from 1 species
UUAAAUUGAAGAGUUUGAUCAUGGCUCAGAUUGAACGCUGGCGGCAGGCUUAACACAUGCAAGUCGAGCGGAAACGACACUAACAAUCCUUCGGGUGCGUUAAUGGGCGUCGAGCGGCGGACGGGUGAGUAAUGCCUAGGAAAUU